AAGUCGUAACAAGGUUUCCGUAGGUGAACCUGCGGAAGGAUCAUUAACACGUAUCCAAACGUAAAAAACCCCCCCCGUGAACAUUCAAUCCUGCUCUUGUAACCCGCGUAGUUCGCAAUCUCUGGUAAAUCAUCUAUGCCAAAGGGUCCCCAUGCCCCCUUAUAACCCCACAGUUUAAUGUGAAGCUCAAUGUAAUACAUUGGGUAAAAAAACCGAUCAACUGUUAACAAUGGAUAUCUUGGUUCUC
rnacentral:misc_RNA from 1 species